UUGAAGAUAUGUUUGUAUUUUUUGCCUCUUUCAUUUGUAUGUGAUUACAGAACAGAGAGAGCGCUAUACUUACUGCUUUCGAUGGAU